CGGUAUCUUGACCGUGCAAAGGUAGCAUAAUCACUUGUCUCCUAAAUAGAGACUGGUAUGAAUGGCAAGACGGAGCUAAACUGUCUCUUUUUUUAACCCUGAAAUUUACUUCUACGUGAAGAGGCGUAGAUAAAAUCGCCAGACGAGAAGACCCUGUCGAGCUUAAAGCAAAACGUAAGACCCCCAAGAAAUCAAACAAUACUAAUUAACAAAUUUACAAAACUUAGAUUACAGCGUUCUUACGGAAAGCUUUGGUUGGGGCAACCGCGGAAAAAGAAAAUCUUCCGCUAACUAAAAUUUAACAAAGGAAUACCCUCCUAGUAUCAAAAAUGAAAGCAUGAUCCACUUAGGUGAUCAAAGGAACAAGUUACCGCAGGGAUAACAGCGUUAUCUUUUUUGAGAGUCACAUUGACAAAAAGGUUUGCGACCUCGAUGUUGGAUCGGGACAUCCCAAGGGU
rnacentral:rRNA from 1 species